AUUGAACGCUAGCGGGAUGCUUUACACAUGCAAGUCGAACGAGUGGCGGACGGGUGAGUAAUAUAUCGGAAGUGCCCAGUAGCGGGGGAUAACUACUCGAAAGAGUGGCUAAUACCGCAUACCAUCAGAUAACCCAUAUGGGAUUAGCUUGUAGGUGAGGUAACGGCUCACCUAGGCGACGAUCCCUAGCGGGUCUGAGAGGAUGAUCAGCCACACUGGUACUGAGACACGGCCCAGACGCCUACGGAGGCAGCAGUGGGGAAUAUUGCACAAUGGGCGCAAGCCUGAUGCAGCCAUGCCGCGUGUAUGAAGAAGGCCCUAGGGUUGUAAAGUACUUUCAGUCGGGAGGCGUUACCGACAGAAGAAGCACAGGCUAACUCCGUGCCAGCCGCCGCGGUAAUAC
rnacentral:rRNA from 1 species